rfam:Loxodonta africana unplaced genomic scaffold scaffold_16, whole genome shotgun sequence.
CCCUCUGUGGCUUAAAUGGUUAAGCACUUGGCAACUAACUAAAAGAUUAGUGGUUCAAAUCCACCCAGAGGUG